AGAUGGCUUUAAUGAAAGAAAAUGUAUGGCAUUCGCUUUAAAGUUAACUACUUUCCAUUGCAGAGCACAGCCACUUAGAUUCAAAUAAUUUUAAUCUUCUUAGUAGUUGUAGUCAUACAAUAUUUACUCUGAUGAUUCACUCAACGGCAGGUCUUGAAAAAUAGUUCAAUCAAUAGACGAAGACGAGAAUCGGAAGAAUCCAGUAUCAAUUUGGGGUGUUUAGAGUGAAUGAAAAUCGAUUAAACAACGUAAAAGGACUCGAUUCCUUGUGUUGUGUUUAAAGUUAGGUAUGGCAUUCGUUUUUCGUUUUGUGUUUGUUGCUGUUUGUUCACCUUCAUACUUAUAGAUGGCUUUAAUGAAAGAAAAGAGUUGUUUUUAUUCUGCCUUUUUUGAAGAGUGAAGGUGUUAUAUUGCGUUCAUGAUUUGUAAAACCUAGGGUCUCAAAAUCUUAUUGAUUGAAUCAGGGGAAAAAUCUACAGAGAAGUUAUUGAAGCAAUGGAAAAUUUUAACAACAUACGAGCACCAUUCAAUAAUCGAAUAAAAGCCCAUUAGGCCCAUAUUAAGCAUUGUGAAAUAGAGAAACGAAAUACAGUCUCUACUCUAGGGUUUUACUUGUAUCGUUCUGUGCCUCCGUCACUGCUCGGAUCUCUUCGACAAUGGCGGAACAGACUGAGAACGCGUUUUUAAAGCAACCCAAGGUCUUUUUAUGUUCCAAGAAAAGUGGAAAGGGAAAGAGGCCUAGGAAGGGUGGAAACAGAUUCUGGAAGAGUAUUGGUCUUGGCUUCAAGACUCCAAGAGAAGCUAUUGAAGAAACUGUUUGACCUCCAUUCCAGCCUCCAAAUUUGUUAGAAGUGUUCAAUACACCUCUAGCUUCAGUGGUGAACAUAAGAGAGUAUUUUUUUCUCAAACCAUGUGGAAUAUAUGGACCGCACGAAGUGAAAAAAUAUUCAGAUGCAAGGAUUUUAGCAUGUACAAAAUGGUCGAAGAGAUAAAGGAAAAGACAUUUAAAUGAGCAUCGAAAAGAUCAAAGCUUAGGAGUAUGCCAUUGAGCAACUGGAUACUUUUUAGUUUGACUAUUUAAGUGCCAUGUAAAAGUUAAAUCAUGCUUUGUAUGUUUUCCAUUUUAGUAACUUGCUAAUUGGUAUGUUUAGAUUGAUUAAUGAAAAUUUCUGUUUCUUUUCAAAAAAAAAAA